rnacentral:rRNA from 1 species
AUUGAACGCUGGCGGCAUGCUUUACACAUGCAAGUCGAACGGUAACAGGCCGCAAGGUGCUGACGAGUGGCGAACGGGUGAGUAAUGCAUCGGAACGUGCCCAGUCGUGGGGGAUAACUACUCGAAAGAGUAGCUAAUACCGCAUACGAUCUAUGGAUGAAAGCGGGGGACCGUAAGGCCUCGCGCGAUUGGAGCGGCCGAUGUCAGAUUAGGUAGUUGGUGGGGUAAAGGCUCACCAAGCCAACGAUCUGUAGCUGGUCUGAGAGGACGACCAGCCACGCUGGGACUGAGACACGGCCCAGACUCCUACGGGAGGCAGCAGUGGGGAAUUUUGGACAAUGGGCGCAAGCCUGAUCCAGCAAUGCCGCGUGCAGGAAGAAGGCCUUCGGGUUGUAAACUGCUUUUGUACGGAACGAAACGGCUCCGGUUAAUACCCGGGGCUAAUGACGGUACCGUAAGAAUAAGCACCGGCUAACUACGUG